CAUCCUGCCAGUGUGAUGCUUGUGCAGGGCCGUGCGUUCUGUCACAUCAAACACUCGCACAUACUCUCUGUUGGGUGUACAUGAAGUGCAGACCUAUAGCACAGGAAGAAAAAAUGUUGUAUUGUCAACGUCUGGUCCAUUUGAUACAAGGGAUGCAGCCACACCUCAGAGAAAAGCACCUUUUGGGGACAACAAACCUGGAAGCAGUAGAAGGAAUCAUCUGUGUUUAGGUGCUAACUUGGAAGCAUUCAGAAACAUUCAACAACUGCUCACCUCUAUGUACAUGUUUCCAUGAAGCUCAGAUAUUGCUGAUCGAGGUAACCCACUUCGCAGGUGCAGCCCAUCACAGUUUUGAGAUACCACAUGCUGCACCUGGAAGAGAACAAAACACUGAAAUAACACACACAGAGAAGACUCUGAAAGCAUGAUUCCAAUGCAGUAUCAGCUGUCUGCUGGGCAGCUCAGAAUUCAUCUCCUGAGUAGCUGCAGAACUGUCCUUCCAGGAAAGAGAAAGGAAAAGUUCACUACAGUCACCUUACCUGAUGCUCCUGCCCUUCUGCAGCAAUGUCCAAAUGCCAUUGGGGCCUCGGUAGUCUGGGAUCGAAGCUGCCUGUGUUGUGAAGAGAGACAAAACAUGGCCUGACGGGAAAGUUCCUACCUCUCGUCCACCAACACAUCAACCUGGCCUCACCCAGGACAGCGAGAUACUGCAUUCACUGCUGCUUUUUCAUUCACUCAAAGUUUUCUAGUGUUUUCCUAAUUACAGAGAGCUCUUUUCCUACCUUGCA